AUAAAAGUAGUACAAAUAUGUUAGUACUUUUGGUUUAGGUCCAGAAUAUGUUGGUUAAAUUCCAAUCUUUUAUA
rnacentral:tRNA from 1 species